UACGGAGGGUGCGAGCGUUGUCCGGAAUCACUGGGCGUAAAGGGCGCGUAGGCGGAUCUUUAAGUCGGGGGUGAAAGCCCAGGGCUCAACCCUGGAAUUGCCUUCGAUACUGAAGAUCUCGAGACCGGAAGAGGUUAGUGGAACUGCGAGUGUAGAGGUGAAAUUCGUAGAUAUUCGCAAGAACACCAGUGGCGAAGGCGGCUCACUGGCCCGGUACUGACGCUGAGGUGCGAAAGCGUGGGGAGCAAACAGG
rnacentral:rRNA from 1 species